UCUGCUCCAAGCUCACUCCUGUGGCUGUUGACAGGAAGCUUCAGUUUCUUGCCAUAGCCCGUCUCCAUAUGGCUACUCAUGGCAUGGCUUCCCCCAGAGCAAUUGGUUAGAGAGAGAGAGCCAGAAGCCACAGUGCCUAAUCUCAGAAGUGACAAAUCAUCACACAGACCAACCCAGUAUAACAUGGGAAGGGACUACACAAAGGUAUGAAAUAACAGGAGGUAGAGGUUGUUGGGAUCAUUGUCACGGCUUGCUACCCCAGACAGUGAGAGGAAGACCACCCAAGGUUUAUACAUAAAUUUUCGUCACCUUUAUAAACAGCGCAGACGGCGCUAUGGACAAAAAAAGAAAAAGAUCCACUAAAAAGAUUGAGAUGGCUUCUUGCCAGUUUGAGCCUAAUCUGAUUCUUACAGUUUUACUUUCUUGUACCAAUGUAAAAGUUUUUUUAAUGUUAAAUGAUUAAAUUCUCAGUGAGGCUA
rnacentral:sRNA from 1 species